CCUACGGGAGGCAGCAGUGGGGAAUAUUGCACAAUGGGGGAAACCCUGAUGCAGCGACGUCGCGUGAGUGAUGAAGUAUUUCGGUAUGUAAAGCUCUAUCAGCAGGGAAGAAAAUGACGGUACCUGACUACGAAGCCCCGGCUAACUACGUGCCAGCAGCCGCGGUAAUACGUAGGGGGCAAGCGUUAUCCGGAUUUACUGGGUGUAAGGGGAGCGUAGACGGCGGUGCAAGCCAGAUGUGAAAGCCCGGGGCUCAACCCCGGGACUGCCUUUGAAACUGUGCUGCUAGAGUGUCGGAGAGGCAGGCGGAAUUCCUAGUGUAGCGGUGAAAUGCGUAGAUAUUAGGAGGAACACCAGUGGCGAAGGCGGCCUGCUGGACGAUGACUGACGUUGAGGCUCGAAAGCGUGGGGAGCAAACAGGAUUAGAUACCCGAGUAGUC
rnacentral:rRNA from 1 species